GUUGUUUUGCCCGAGUUGGUCUAAGGGGUUGCAUUAAGGCUGCAAUAUCAUUGAUGCGAGGGUUCGAAUCCCUCAGACAACA
rfam:Dictyostelium purpureum unplaced genomic scaffold DICPTscaffold_87, whole genome shotgun sequence.